rnacentral:rRNA from 1 species
AUUGAACGCUGGCGGCAGGCCUAACACAUGCAAGUCGAACGAGUGGCGGACGGGUGAGUAAUGUCUGGGAAACUGCCUGAUGGAGGGGGAUAACUACUGGAAACGGUAGCUAAUACCGCAUACCAUCGGAUGUGCCCAGAUGGGAUUGUCUAGUAGGUGGGGUAACGGUCCACCUAGGCGACGGUACCUCGCUGGUCUGAGAGGAUGACCAGCCACACUGGAACGGAGACACGGUCCAGACUCCGACGGGAGGCAGCAGUGGGGAAUAUUGCACAAUGGGCGCAAGCCUGAUGCAGCCAUGCCGCGUGUAUGAAGAAGGCCUUCGGGUUGUAAAGUACUUUCAGCGGGGAGGUGUUACCCGCAGAAGAAGCACCGGCUAACUCCGUGCCAGCCGCCGCGGUAAUAC